rnacentral:rRNA from 1 species
ACUCCUACGGGAGGCAGCAGUAGGGAAUCUUCCACAAUGGACGAAAGUCUGAUGGAGCAACGCCGCGUGAGUGAAGAAGGGUUUCGGCUCGUAAAACUCUGUUGUUAAAGAAGAACAUAUCUGAGAGUAACUGUUCAGGUAUUGACGGUAUUUAACCAGAAAGCCACGGCUAACUACGUGCCAGCAGCCGCGGUAAUACA